ensembl:snRNA U6 U6 spliceosomal RNA
GUGCUCGCUUCGGCAGCGCCUACACUAAGACUGGAACAAUACAGAGAAGAUUAGCAUGGCCCCUGCACAAAGCUGACAUGCAAAUUCGUGAAGCGUUCCAUAUUUAA